rnacentral:rRNA from 1 species
CACCCAGACUCCUACGGGAGGCAGCAGUGGGGGAUAUUGCACAAUGGGGGGAACCCUGAUGCAGCGACGCCGCGUGGGUGAAGAAGCGCCUCGGCGCGUAAAGCCCUGUCAGCAGGGAAGAAAAUGACGGUACCUGAAGAAGAAGCCCCGGCUAACUACGUGCCAGCAGCCGCGGUAAUACGUAGGGGGCAAGCGUUAUCCGGAUUUACUGGGUGUAAAGGGGGCGCAGACGGCGAUGCAAGCCAGGAGUGAAAGCCUGGGGCCCAACCCCGGGACUGCUCUUGGAACUGCGUGGCUGGAGUGCAGGAGGGGCAGGCGGAAUUCCUGGUGUAGCGGUGAAAUGCGUAGAUAUCAGGAGGAACACCGGUGGCGAAGGCGGCCUGCUGGACUGCAACUGACGUUGAGGCCCGAAAGCGUGGGGAGCAAACAGGAUUAGAUACCCCUGUA